UUAAGUUAGAAAGGGCGCACGGUGGAUGCCUUGGCACUAGGAGCCGAUGAAGGACGGGACGAACACCGAUAUGCUUCGGGGAGCUGUAAGCAAGCUUUGAUCCGGAGAUUUCCGAAUGGGGAAACCCACCACUCGUAAUGGAGUGGUAUCCAUAUCUGAAUACAUAGGAUAUGAGAAGGCAGACCCGGGGAACUGAAACAUCUAAGUACCCGGAGGAAGAGAAAGCAAAUGCGAUUCCCUGAGUAGCGGCGAGCGAAACGGGACCAGCCCAAACCAAGAGGCUUGCCUCUUGGGGUUGUAGGACACUCUGUACGGAGUUACAAAGGAACGAGGUAGAUGAAGAGGUCUGGAAAGGCCCGCCAUAGGAGGUAACAGCCCUGUAGUCAAAACUUCGUUCUCUCCUGAGUGGAUCCUGAGUACGGCGGAACACGUGAAAUUCCGUCGGAAUCCGGGAGGACCAUCUCCCAAGGCUAAAUACUCCCUAGUGACCGAUAGUGAACCAGUACCGUGAGGGAAAGGUGAAAAGCACCCCGGAAGGGGAGUGAAAGAGAUCCUGAAACCGUGUGCCUACAAGUAGUCAGAGCCCGUUAACGGGUGAUGGCGUGCCUUUUGUAGAAUGAACCGGCGAGUUACGAUCCCGUGCAAGGUUAAGCAGAAGAUGCGGAGCCGCAGCGAAAGCGAGUCUGAAUAGGGCGAAUUGAGUACGUGGUCGUAGACCCGAAACCAGGUGAUCUACCCAUGUCCAGGGUGAAGUUCAGGUAACACUGAAUGGAGGCCCGAACCCACGCACGUUGAAAAGUGCGGGGAUGAGGUGUGGGUAGGGGUGAAAUGCCAAUCGAACCUGGAGAUAGCUGGUUCUCUCCGAAAUAGCUUUAGGGCUAGCCUCAAGGUAAGAGUCUCGGAGGUAGAGCACUGAUUGGACUAGGGGCCCCUACCGGGUUACCGAAUUCAGUCAAACUCCGAAUGCCGAUGACUUAUCCUUGGGAGUCAGACUGCGAGUGAUAAGAUCCGUAGUCGAAAGGGAAACAGCCCAGACCGCCAGCUAAGGUCCCAAAGUAUACGUUAAGUGGAAAAGGAUGUGGAGUUGCUUAGACAACCAGGAUGUUGGCUUAGAAGCAGCCACCAUUUAAAGAGUGCGUAAUAGCUCACUGGUCGAGUGACUCUGCGCCGAAAAUGUACCGGGGCUAAACGUAUCACCGAAGCUGCGGACUGUUCUUCGAACAGUGGUAGGAGAGCGUUCUAAGGGCUGUGAAGCAAGACCGGAAGGACUUGUGGAGCGCUUAGAAGUGAGAAUGCCGGUAUGAGUAGCGAAAGAGGGGUGAGAAUCCCCUCCACCGAAUGCCUAAGGUUUCCUGAGGAAGGCUCGUCCGCUCAGGGUUAGUCGGGACCUAAGCCGAGGCCGAAAGGCGUAGGCGAUGGAUAACAGGUUGAUAUUCCUGUACCACCUCCUCACCAUUUGAGCAAUGGGGGGACGCAGGAGGAUAGGGUAAGCGCGGUAUUGGAUAUCCGCGUCCAAGCAGUUAGGCUGGGAAAUAGGCAAAUCCGUUUCCCGUGAAGGCUGAGCUGUGAUGGCGAGCGAAUUAUAGUAGCGAAGUUCCUGAUUCCACACUGCCAAGAAAAGCCUCUAGCGAGGUGAGAGGUGCCCGUACCGCAAACCGACACAGGUAGGCGAGGAGAGAAUCCUAAGGUGAUCGAGAGAACUCUCGUUAAGGAACUCGGCAAAAUGACCCCGUAACUUCGGGAGAAGGGGUGCUCUGUUAGGGUGCAAGCCCGAGAGAGCCGCAGUGAAUAGGCCCAGGCGACUGUUUAGCAAAAACACAGGUCUCUGCGAAGCCGUAAGGCGAAGUAUAGGGGCUGACGCCUGCCCGGUGCUGGAAGGUUAAGAGGAGCGCUUAGCGUAAGCGAAGGUGCGAAUUGAAGCCCCAGUAAACGGCGGCCGUAACUAUAACGGUCCUAAGGUAGCGAAAUUCCUUGUCGGGUAAGUUCCGACCCGCACGAAAGGCGCAACGAUCUGGGCACUGUCUCAACGAGAGACUCGGUGAAAUUAUAGUACCUGUGAAGAUGCAGGUUACCCGCGACAGGACGGAAAGACCCCGUGGAGCUUUACUGCAGCCUGAUAUUGAAUGUUGGUACAGCUUGUACAGGAUAGGUAGGAGCCUUGGAAACCGGAGCGCCAGCUUCGGUGGAGGUAUCGGUGGGAUACUACCCUGGCUGUAUUGACCUUCUAACCCGCCGCCCUUAUCGGGCGGGGAGACAGUGUCAGGUGGGCAGUUUGACUGGGGCGGUCGCCUCCUAAAAGGUAACGGAGGCGCCCAAAGGUUCCCUCAGAAUGGUUGGAAAUCAUUCGCAGAGUGUAAAGGCACAAGGGAGCUUGACUGCGAGACCUACAAGUCGAGCAGGGACGAAAGUCGGGCUUAGUGAUCCGGUGGUUCCGCAUGGAAGGGCCAUCGCUCAACGGAUAAAAGCUACCCCGGGGAUAACAGGCUUAUCUCCCCCAAGAGUCCACAUCGACGGGGAGGUUUGGCACCUCGAUGUCGGCUCAUCGCAUCCUGGGGCUGUAGUCGGUCCCAAGGGUUGGGCUGUUCGCCCAUUAAAGCGGUACGCGAGCUGGGUUCAGAACGUCGUGAGACAGUUCGGUCCCUAUCCGUCGCGGGCGCAGGAAAUUUGAGAGGAGCUGUCCUUAGUACGAGAGGACCGGGAUGGACGCACCGCUGGUGUACCAGUUGUUCUGCCAAGGGCAUCGCUGGGUAGCUAUGUGCGGACGGGAUAAGUGCUGAAAGCAUCUAAGCAUGAAGCCCCCCUCAAGAUGAGAUUUCCCAUUCCGCAAGGAAGUAAGAUCCCUGAAAGAUGAUCAGGUUGAUAGGUCUGAGGUGGAAGUGUGGCGACACAUGGAGCUGACAGAUACUAAUCGAUCGAGGACUUAACCAA
rnacentral:rRNA from 1 species